rnacentral:misc_RNA from 1 species
GUUCAUGGAAGGUGAUCUCUAUUUCACAGUUCUUUCCUUUCAGAAUCUCUAAAUUUUGAUCAUUUUUCUGCUGCAUAGUUUUUCUAGUUUUGAUGAUUUUAAUUGUUAUGCUCUAUCAUGAAUCAGGCCAAUAAUGUAAUUUUACUGGUGGAAAAUUUGUAAUGUUAUUUUUCUGUUUGUCAAAUUUAGGAAAUCCUAAAAUAGUUUCAUGUGCUCUGACAAUGCAGCUUAUUUGAAUGUCAAAUUAAAAGCAAAAGUGUUCUGUUCUUUCAUGAAAUCCAUAUUCCUCGCUUUAGCAAGAAGCUAUUCCUAGUAGGUAUCACAGGUUAAGAAAGUAAAGCAUAUUGCAUAUGAAGAAUUUAGCCAAAAAAUUGGUCUUCCAGUGUUG